ACAGGGGGGGCAAGCGUUGUUCGGAAUUACUGGGCGUAAAGGGCCAGUAGGCGGCCAACUAAGUCCGACGUGAAAUCCCAAGGCUUAACCUUGGAACUGCGUCGGAUACUGGAUGGCUUGAAUUCGGGAGAGGGAUGCAGAAUUCCAGGUGUAGCGGUGAAAUGCGUAGAUAUCAGGAGGAACACCGGUGGCGAAGGCGGUUCUCUGGGCAUGUCCUGAUGCUGAGGAGCGAAAGUGUGGGGAGCGAACAGGA
rnacentral:rRNA from 1 species